CAUACCUCGCCAAAGACUACUAUAAAUCAAGUUGAUUUGCCAUCAUUGGCAAAAGAAAGAAGCUGUUCAAUGGUAUUGAUCAUCCGCUUUGUUUACUGUGCCAGAAGAGUUAUGAGGCACUGGUUAAGAUGCCAGCAUCCAGCCAGAAAUUGCUGGAAUCCAUCCACAAAUGGCAUCAAUGGGGAGACGAAGAGUACCAGCUAGUAGCUGAAUCUUUGGAGGAUACUCUGGAGGACUUGGUUAAACACAAUGCUCUGUGUCAUCUUACAUGCUAGAAGAAGUGCACCCAUAAGCUGAAUUUAGCAAGGCUGGAAACGAAGUACAUUGAGCAUUACCAAGAAGUUGAAUGGGCCAGGAAAAGUGCCAGCUGUGGGAGACUUGACUUAUACUGGGUCCCAUGGCAUGCAUUUUGAGAAGAACACCUGCUUCUUCUGUGGUAAGCUGGAAGCCUGAAGGUAUCCAUUAAGCACAGUUUCAAUACAUGAAACUGGUGAGAAACUAUGAAGCAGUCACUCUUAUUAAGAACAUUGCAUCGAAAAUAAAGUGGGUAAAUUGACCCAAAAGACCCACAGGUAUAGGCCAUUGCAUACCACAUCGAGUCCCACUCUAAGAAUGUGAUGCAUCAAAAGGUAAAAGCAACAGAAACAAUUACUGAUUUUACUACUGCAAACUGUGCAACUCAUCUGGAGUUCAUAAAUUGCCUAGCAGAGGCUCUAAUGAUUGGGAAAGUGGUGGUGAUGGCUGAUGCAGAGGAUAAGUACAGGAAAAUAUGUGCUUUGAAAGGGAUUGAAGAGGAACAAAUGCUUAGCAGAAAGACUCUUAAAACAUUUAUUGAAGAUUAACUGUGGGAUAGGGACAUAAUUUGUAUCAGUCCUAUCCACAGAAAUGAAUCUCAGCACAUAUCCUUAAAAGCUGCAAAAGACAUGGUGCUAUAAAAACCAGAAGAAAGUGCUGAUAUCAACAAUAAAUUGUAGACACGGUGUGCAGCUACUACAUUUUUAUGGAAAAGGAUUUGUUCCCAGAACACAUGGGAGUUUCAGGCAUACAUAGCUAAUGCCAAACCUGAAAAAAUGACUCCAUGUGAUCUGUUCUACUUCUUUAAGAGGUGUAUCUGUGGUCACAGUGACUUCAGCAGCAGCAAAUCUAACAGUAAGCAAGUGGAGCACCAGGCUGCCAUUUUAUUGCAAAGCCUCAUGUACAAGUGCUUGAGUGAAGGGUAGGUUUCCAACACCUACACGACAACUGUAUGACAUACGUAUGAUCUAUCACUACCGGUGGCUGUUGGUUUAACAAUUCAUUCCAAAAUCCAUAGCAAUUUCCUCAUGUAGCAUAUGCAUAUCAGCCACUCCUCCACUGACUACAACAAAAUACUCUACUUGGAAACUGAAAUUGCUAAUGAGGUUCUCCACUGCAUGGAACUGAAAGAAGAGUUUUAUCUUCCCCCAGACCUAAUCAAAGGUAGGUUUAUAUUUUGUGCUCCCAAUAACUUAGAUUUCCUUGAAGACACAGCAUGCUACAGUAAUGGUCUGCUAUCAGAAGCAUAUUAAUGAGGACCAGUCCCAGUCUCAAAUGCAGUCUGGACCAGCAAAGAACCAUUCCGUGAAGGAGCUUUCUGACUCCCUUACUUUCCUACCAAUGGCCAGAAAUUCUGAAGCCAAGAAGUCCAGUUUUCCAUGAAGCACCAGUUAAAUUCACUAUAGUAGAGCUUUCUACAUUCACUAAUCUUGACCUUACUUGGUUAUGGUGGGAUACACUCCAGAGGCAAAAACCCAUGAGUAUGGCUUCAGAUGAAGAACAAGAAGACAUAUCCUCAAGUGAUCUGGACCCCCCAGGACAUGCCAUACCACAUGAUUUCAGAGUAAAUGUACAUUCCAACAUGGUCAGCCUUUAACUUGGCACUACAUGAAGUACCAGACUGAAUGACCCCUGUAUGCAUACUGCCAGUCAUACAUGCUAGCCCCACUGAUAACUCAGUUCUCUCAGAAAAAUUAAUAUCAAUAAGGGAUGCAUUUAUACCUGCUAUAAAGAUGGCAAAUUAUCGAGCAGUGGGAUGGCUCUGUGAGUGCAUCCAAAACUACCCUCAUCUACCAAGAAUCAAUGGAUCUGGGAGGAAGGACUGAUCACACCAGUUAUGUGUGAAAUACCAUGCACUUCUGAAUCAGUCCUUCAGAUAAUCAAAUGCUUGUGUGCAAAUACCAGAAGCUCACCACCCUACAAAUGUUUGGCCAGCAGCCUGCCUUGUUUGGAAAUAUGCAAUUGCAGAGCAAAUGAGGACCAGUGUGACAAUGUGUCUAGCAGUAGAACCCUAGAUGGAGUUGACGCUGAUGAUGACUUUGGUGAAUAAAUGUUUUCAGUCCUACAUGUCAAGGAAAACUUUUCUAGGAUUACCAAAGAUCAAUGUCUUUUAUGUGAGCAAUACAUCUCCGGGUUAACGUAUAAUGUUUAAAAAUGUUGAUUUUUAUAUAUUUUCUUUACCGGGGCACAUACCUGCAGGGCCGGCUCUAACUUUUUUGCCUCCCCAAGCAAAAAAAAGAGCGCCGCCCUGCCGUAAGACACCUUCAUGAGCGCCAUGCUGCCGAACCCCCCCCAGUGCCACGCUGUGGAAACCCCCUCCUCCCUGAGCGCCGUGCCACACCCAGCGCUGCACCGCUGAAGCCCCCGCUCCCUUGAGUGCCACACCGCCCAAGGCCCCGCCCACCCGAAGCCCCAGCCCCCUCGAGCAUCACGCCGCCUGAAGCCCCCACCCCCCCAAGUGCCACGCCACCCAAGCCCCCGCCCCUGCCAAGCACCAUGCCACCCAAGCCGCCGCACCACCGAAACAUCCCUCCCCCCCGAGCGCUGCCUGGCCGAAACAAAAACAAACAAACAAACAAAACCCUCCAGCGCCACCUCACUGACCCAAAAAAAACAACAACAAAAAAACCGAGCACUGCCCCUCCCCAAGGUGCCGCCCCAAGCAUGUGCUUGGUCGGCUGGUGCCUGGAGCCAGCCCUGCAUACCUGCUUUGCAUUCACAUCUGGUUAUCUAUGUAGUUAAAUUGAGUAUGUGCAAUGUUAUGGGUGCAACUGAGUGGACCUAUUUUAAAUAGGUUUAUUACUAUACAGCCUAAAGUAGCAGAGCCAUAUUUUACGGUUAAGGAAUGGUCUGGUGGCUAAACUAGACAACUAGGUGUCAGGAGAAUUAUAUUCUAUUCCUGGCUCUGCCACAGACAUUUUGGUAUGAUCUAAGAUAAAAUGCUUACUCUGGUGAACGCUAUUUGCCUACCCCCUAGAGAUGUUGUGAGAAUAAAUUCAUUAAUGUUUAAGUGCUCUGAGAUCCUUGGAUGGAAAGUGCAUUUAAGAGCAAAGUAUCAAAUUCUAACCCAUAGAAAAACAGAGGUUUAUAUUGAACAUAGGCUGGAAAAUGUUUUGAACUGAAACUUUUAUUUUGUUUCUUGAAAAAUGACAUUUCAAAAUUUUGAAUUUUUGAGAUCAUAAAUUUAAUUCCACCCCCUUUUCCCCCUUUUCCACUGGGAGCAAUAAAAUAAUCAUUGUCAAGAUUCCCCCCGCCACACACACACACUUUCUUCUCUCUUUUUCCAUUCUGUAACUUUU